ACUGCCCCUAGAAGCGUUGCAGGUAUGGCUGCUGUAUCACAAAUACAUCAGUAAGUGGCAGAGAGGAGAGAAAAGAUGUCUACAUUCAAUGGUCUGACCUAUGAACAUCUGAAUGAUUAGAAGCCUAACAUU